rnacentral:rRNA from 13 species
UAGAUUUCUAACUUUGAACCAUUAUCUGGUCAAAGAACAGUUUCAGGCGGGCAGUUUGACUGGGGCGGUCGCCUCCUAAAGCGUAACGGAGGCGCGCGAAGGUUGGCUCAGAGCGGUCGGAAAUCGCUCGUUGAGUGCAAUGGCAGAAGCCAGCCUGACUGCAAGACUGACAAGUCGAGCAGAGACGAAAGUCGGUCAUAGUGAUCCGGUGGUCCCGAGUGGAAGG